rnacentral:rRNA from 1 species
UACGUAGGGGGCAAGCGUUGUCCGGAAUCAUUGGGCGUAAAGCGCGUGUUAGGCGGCCAGAAAAGUCCGCUGUGAAAACUCGAGGCUCAACUUCGAGCUGUCGGUGGAAACUUUCUGGCUAGAGUCCGGAAGAGGAGAAUGGAAUUCCUGGUGUAGCGGUGAAAUGCGCAGAUAUCAGGAAGAACACCCCGUGGCGAAGGCGGUUCUCUGGGACGGUACUGACGCUGAGACGCGAAAGCGUGGGGAGCGAACAGG